AACGCGAAGAACCUUACCUGGCCUUUACAUGUCCGGAAUCCUGCAGAGAAGCGGGUGUUCCUUUCGGAAUAGGAACACAGGUGGUGCAUGGCUGUUGUCAACUCGUGUCGUGAGAUGUUGGGUUAAGUCCCGCAACGAGCGCAACCCUUGUCCUUAGUUGCCAGCAAGUAAUGGGGGGAACUCUAAGGAGACUGCCGGUGACAAACCGGAGGAAGGGGGGGAUGACGUCAAGUCAUCAUGGCCCUUUAGGCAGGGGCUACACACUUAUUAAAGGGUGGGAACAAAGGGGUGCGAGACCGCGAGGUGGAACCAAUCCCAGAAACCCGAUUCCAGUCCGGAUUGGAGUCUGCAACUCGGCUCCCUGAAGUCGGAAUCGCUAGUUAAUCACCAUUGGGUCUUGUACACACCG
rnacentral:rRNA from 1 species